AGCAGCCGCGGUAAUUCCAGCUCCAAUAGCGUAUAUUAAAGUUGCUGCAGUUAAAAAGCUCGUAGUUGAAUUUCGGGAUCAAUAUGUUGGUCGUGCCUCGGUACGUACUAGCUUAUUGGUUUCUCCCUUCUGACGAACCAUGAUGUCAUUUAUUUGGUGUUAUGGGAAAUCAGGACUGUUACUUUGAAAAAAUUAGAGUGUUUAAAGCAGGCUCACGCUUGAAUACAUUAGCAUGGAAUAAUGAAAUAGGACGUUUGAUUCUAUUUUGUUGGUUUCUAGGAUCGACGUAAUGAUUAAUAGGGAUAGUUGGGGGCAUUAGUAUUCAAUUGUCAGGAGGUGAGAUUCUUGGAUUUAUUGAAGACUAACUACUGCGAAAGCAUUUGCCAAGGAUGUUUUCAUUAAUCAAGAACGAAAGUUAGGGGAUCGAAGACGAUCAGAUACCGUCAUAGUCUUAACCAUAAACUAUGCCGACUAGGGAUCGGAUGAUGUUAAUUUUUUAAUGACUCAUUCGGCGCCUUAC
rnacentral:rRNA from 1 species